UGAGAACUUUGAAGGCCGAA
rnacentral:ncRNA from 2 species